UGAGGGAUAUUGGUCAAUGGGGGCAACCCUGAACCAGCGACGCCGCGUGGGUGAAGAAGGUCUUCGGAUCGUAAAGCCCUUUUCUGCGUGAAGAGGAAGGACGGUAGCGCAGGAAUAAGUCUCGGCUAACUACGUGCCAGCAGCCGCGGUAAAACGUAGGAGACAAGCGUUAUCCGGAGUUACUGGGCGUAAAGGGCGUGUAGGUGGCAGAGUAAGUCUGUUGUGAAAGCUCCUGGCUUAACCGGGAGAGGCCAAUGGAGACUGCUCCGCUGGAGGCCGGUAGAGGUGGGUGGAAUUCCGGGUGUAGUGGUGAAAUGCGUAGAGAUCCGGAGGAACACCAGAGGCGAAGGCGGCCCACUAGGCCGGACCUGACACUGAAACGCGACAGCAUGGGGAGCAAACGGGAUUAGAAACCCCGGUAGUCCAUGCCGUAAACGAUGCCAGCUAGAUGUUCAGGCUGCAAGUGCAGACUGGGUGUCGCAGCUAACGCGAUAA
rnacentral:rRNA from 1 species